UUACGGUCAUAUCACGUUGAAAAACAGGUUCCCGUACGAUCAUUGAAGUUAAACAACGUCGAGCCUGGUCAGUUACUAGAUGGGCGACCGCUUGCGAAUACAAGGUGUUGUAAG